rnacentral:lncRNA from 1 species
UCCGUGCCCAUUCCACCCUGUGAAAGUGUAUGUACAGCAACGCUUUUGCCGACGUUGCACACCACCACCACAAACCACGUACGUCACGCCCGCACGCACGUGUCCGGAAGUGCAGCAUUCAUUCUCAUUCUUCUAGGUCCUCCGCCAAGCGCCAAGUGCAUUAUUGAACUAAACGAAUUUCACAACUUGC